CGUAUGAUACUGCUGCCAGCCCGCAUCCUGUCUGGAUUGUUGCGGGCGGCCUGUGUCUCAACACAGCGCAAAACUCCUUACCGGAUUUU
ncrna:Pantoea sp. YR343 Peptidase-S11 RNA